rnacentral:tRNA from 1 species
GUUUUAAUAAUUUAAUAAAAAUAUUGGUCUUGUAAACCAAACAUAAGACUAGCUCUUUUAAAGCU